UACGUAGGGCGCAAGCGUUGUCCGGAAUUAUUGGGCGUAAAGAGCUCGUAGGCGGCUUGUCACGUCGAUUGUGAAAGCCCGAGGCUUAACCUCGGGUCUGCAGUCGAUACGGGCUAGCUAGAGUGUGGUAGGGGAGAUCGGAAUUCCUGGUGUAGCGGUGAAAUGCGCAGAUAUCAGGAGGAACACCCGUAGCGAAGGCGGCACUCUGGGCCGAUACUGACACUGAGGAGCGAAAGCGUGGGGAGCGAACAGG
rnacentral:rRNA from 1 species